rnacentral:rRNA from 1 species
AACGCGAAGAACCUUACCCAGACUUGACAUCGAUCGCAAGCCCUAGAGAUAGGGCCCUCUUCCCAAAAGGAAGACGUGAAGACACUUGUUGCAUGGCUGUCGUCAGCUCGUGCCGUGAGGUGUACGGUUAAGUCCGCCAACGAGCGCAACCCUCGUCCUGUGUUACCAGCGAGAAAGUCGGGAACUCACAGGAGACCGCCGGUGUAAAUCGGAGGAAGGUGGGGAUGACGUCAAGUCAGCAUGGCAGUUACGUCUGGGGCUUCACACAUGCUACAAUGGAAGAAACAAAGGGCAGCGAUACCGCGAGGUGGAGCCAAUCCCAAAAAUACUUCCCCAGUUCAGAUUGCAGUCUGCAACUCGACUGCAUGAAGGUGGAAUCGCUAGUAAACGCAGGUCAGCUAUACUGCGUUGAAUACGUUCCCGGGCCUUGUACACACCGAUACUC